UGAGGAAUAUUGGUCAAUGAGCGAGAGCCUGAACCAGCCAAGUAGCGUGCAGGAUGACGGCCCUAUGGGUUGUAAACUGCUUUUAUGUGGGGAUAAAGUGCGUGACGUGUCAUGCAUUGCAGGUACCACAUGAAUAAGGACCGGCUAAUUCCGUGCCAGCAGCCGCGGUAAUACGGAAGGUCCGGGCGUUAUCCGGAUUUAUUGGGUUUAAAGGGAGCGUAGGCUGUCUAUUAAGCGUGUUGUGAAAUUUACCGGCUCAACCGGUGGCUUGCAGCGCGAACUGGUCGACUUGAGUAUGCAGGAAGUAGGCGGAAUUCAUGGUGUAGCGGUGAAAUGCUUAGAUAUCAUGACGAACUCCGAUUGCGCAGGCAGCUUACUGUAGCAUAACUGACGCUGAUGCUCGAAAGUGCGGGUAUCAAACAGG
rnacentral:rRNA from 1 species